GACGAACGCUGGCGGCGCGCUUAACACAUGCAAGUCGAACGGUGAACCGGGCUUCGGCCCGGGGAUCAGUGGCGAACGGGUGAGUAACACGUGGGCAACCUGCCCCGGACACCGGGAUAACCCAGGGAAACCUGAGCUAAUACCGGAUACUCCGGCGUGAUCGCAUGGUCGCGCCGGGAAAGCUCCGACGGUCCGGGAUGGGCCCGCGGCCUAUCAGCUUGUUGGCGGGGUAACGGCCCACCAAGGCGACGACGGGUAGCUGGUCUGAGAGGACGGCCAGCCACACUGGGACUGAGACACGGCCCAGACUCCUACGGGAGGCAGCAGUGGGGGAUCUUGCGCUAAUGCGCGAAAGCGUGACGCAGCGACGCCGCGUGGGGGAUGAAGGCCCUCGGGUUGUAAACCCCUUUCGGCAGGGACGAAGGGAAACUGACGGUACCUGCAGAAGAAGUCCCGGCUAACUACGUGCCAGCAGCCGCAGUAACAC
rnacentral:rRNA from 1 species